UCCUACGGGGGGCAGCAGUGAGGAAUAUUGGUCAAUGGGAGAGAUCCUGAACCAGCCAAGCCGCGUGAGGGAAGACGGCCCUAUGGGUUGUAAACCUCUUUUGUCGGAGAACAAAACCCGGGACGUGUCCCGGACUGCGUGUAUCCGAAGAAAAAGCAUCGGCUAACUCCGUGCCAGCAGCCGCGGUAAUACGGAGGAUGCGAGCGUUAUCCGGAUUUAUUGGGUUUAAAGGGUGCGUAGGCGGUCCGUUAAGUCAGCGGUAAAAUGUCGGGGCUCAACCCCAGCCGGCCGUUGAAACUGGUUUU
rnacentral:rRNA from 1 species